CUUGCGUUGAGAGAGCGGCGCAGCCUCUUGCGCAUGCGCAUAAACCCAACUCCGAAUACUCAGCAUCUCCCUGUAACAGCAUCCUUUUAAUGACUGUCCUGCCUUCAGUGCCAGCCUGAAUCACAUGGUCCCUCUCUCCGUCCACCUCAGUUCUCUCAGAUGCAUGCAGACAAGACAUCACCAGCCCAGGACUGCCGGACUCAGAUUGUCCAAAUGCAACCGGAUUGAGAACUGACCAUUCUGAGGAAAUCUGUUGACUGUGCAUCAAGUCCAUAACGCUAGGUGGACCAUGAGCUUGUGUCUAGGGCACUUAGCAGUGGCGUAACUAUAGAGGAAACCGACCCUGCAGUCGCAGGGGCCUGGACCAUGGGGUCUGCUUCCUCUACAGUUAUAAAACCCCCCCUCCCCA